rnacentral:lncRNA from 1 species
GUGGUAGCAUUUGGAAGAAUUUCAUGAUCCAACUCAAUUCAACAUUGCAUGGCUUAAUGCAACACUUUUAGCAUGAUCUAUGCACGAUUUUGGACCUUUUGAAAAUGAUUAUUUGGGCUUUGUACAUGCCUAUGCUAGCUCAUGAAGGAACUUGCUAUUUUUGAACAUUCAAAUGGAAUUGUGUGGAAAUCAAUUGCCAAGGCUAUAAAUAGAAGUGCAUUGUGAUCAGAA